GAAAUCGUAAGUUUGUACUUAACCAUGUUUCUGUUGUUUGCUGAUCUGUUGCUGGGUCGCUGAUCCUCGAUAUCCAUGGGCAGAAGCCUCAGAAGCAAUCUGGGACAUGGUUCCAGCUCCCAUGGCUGUAGCCGAGGACAAGCAGUGGUGAGCCACAAGAGCACACUCUUUGACAUUAUGGAAAUGCCCUGAAAACUACUUUCAGAAAACUGAAAGUAGCCAACCUAACCUAUGAAAACAGGAUUAGGCAGCAUUUACAGAGGGGUAGCUUGCACAACAUGGAAGCACUACCUCUGACUUGGGAGCUUUGCAAGACUAACAGGUAAGAUACCAGUAAGA